UCACUCCCAGCCUGCUCCUGGUGCCUGCACACACUCUCCUGGGACGCCUUUGGUGCAAGGUCUGACUGAGUCCAGGUCUACUGCAGCCAGGAGAUAUAAGAGGUUCAAAGGCCUUGGGAGAACGGUCCCUAUUUCCCAUGGGCGGUGGCUCUGGCCGUGAUUCUGCCCCUUGUCGUUCUCCUGGGCAGUUUCUGCCUCUGGCGGCAGCACCGUGUGAAAGAGAGGCGCCGUGCAGACAAAGGUAACUUUUCUUCAUGGAUUUCCCUACGGAGGGAAGGGGGAGGUCUCAUGCUGUGCAGCUGGUGUCCCAGCAGGCCUUCAGGGCUCUCCUUGGAGAAGCUGUGUGUGAUGUGUGCUGAGGAGCUCCCCAAGAAACCUCAUCCCCAGCACCCCCAGCCUGCUGCUCUGUCCCCCCCCCGUGCAGUGCUGCGUGGGAGCCCCAGGGGCAGGGCUUGUCUCUCCAGGAGCCAGGGGCUAAGGGGCAGGAUGCAUAUGGGGGGAAGGAACAGAUUAGAGGGGCUGGAUUAGUUGUAGCUUGAGAGAAGG